GAUCAUGAACAAUAAGAACAGCAAGGGCAUAUAUGGGUAACUGGGUACAAGAUUGCAGCAUAACCUCCACUGAGUUCAUUGGAAUUGUGUGUUCUUAACUCAGCUAGAUCAUUUUCUUCAUAACUUCAUUGGCACGUUGCUUGAUUUGGGAGUGGCUCAGCUUCCUGAUGGUCUUCAAAGCUAACUGUGAGGCCUUCAUCUUUAUGCAAGCAUUUGCUCAAAGGGAAGAAUUGAAGGUGUGCUGAAUUUCUUUGACAGCCUGACAUAUCAAGGGCAUAUUUAUCAAGCAAAGUUGUUCGAUAUUA